UUAGUUUAGCAUGCUAGGGUGGUCUCUUUUUUUGGAUUAGUCUUUUGUGGUCAGGAUGUUAUUGCAGCAGGGAUGAGGAGUCCAAAUAAAGCCAAAGAGACAACUCAAGUAGAGUUAAAGCUGUGUCACAAACCAUUAUACGUCUGCAAAGCUAGUUCAUGAUAGCAGAUUAGCUCACGCGCAACAAUGUGGAAUUCUUUAACUUUGUUACUUAGUUACGUAGAAAAAUCGUGAGGGCAGCUCUUGUGUUCUGUAGAAAUGGCAAUGACUUGAGAUGUGGGGACAAACUUGGAAAAAAAAAAAAAAAAAAAAAAACGUUUUAUUCAUUUUCUGUCUUUGGAGUUAGUACCAGAUCCAAAACAAAAUGCUCCUUUGUUCAUUCCCCCCGCCCACCACCAAAAUCAUUUGAAGUCCUCACCUGCUGGACCACAGGUUCUCAAAGCUAUUCGAGUUGGCCAAAAAAAUGAAUCCAACUCAAAAAGUAAGGCAGUGUGAAAGGGGCUUCGCUCUUCACAGACACGGGUCACGAUACUCAAAUGAUAUUUUGUAAUCUUGUAACUAUUUCACAAUCGAGGCAAACAGGCAGUGAAAACAAUGCCCACCGUACAAAAAAAUAAGGUGGCUCAGAUAAUCCAGUUUUACAACGUGUUACAUGCAUCAUCAUCAUCAUUAUUAUUAUCAUAGUUCAAAAGGCAGGGUGUAUUGAGUGGUUGCAACCCCCUUACCCGUGCCACCCAUGCACACGGAGCACCAAGGGAAAUUGGCUGACACCCGCUGAAGAUGGCAGGGUUUCCCAAACUGAGAGUCCGUACAUUUCUUACACUAGGGGGAGCCGAUCAAUAUCGUCAUCUUAUUUCUUUCAUUCAUUCAUUUUCUGAUCCGCCUAUCCUCACGAGGGUCUCGGGGGUGCUGGAGCCUAUCCCAGCUGUCUUCGGGCAGUAGGCGGGGGACACCCUGAACUGGUUGCCAAUCAAUCGCAGUCAUCUUAUUUCAUUUAUCAGAAUCUGAAUAAAUUGAGCUUAUUACAGAAAAUUUGGUAAAAAUUGUCAAUUGAGCGAGGUGCUCAAUUGACAGUUUUUUGCUUUUAUGUGGGGAAGGGAAACUGUCUGGAGGGGCUUUUUUUAAUUCAACUUUCAGGAAACCUGGAAAUUUCCUUCCUGGGUAAUAUUUAGUAAAUCUCGCUAAUAAUUGCGGCUCCACUACUGAUCAACAAGUUUGGGAAACCCUGAGCUAAGGGAUUGAGAAGCGC